CCUACGGGAGGCAGCAGUGGGGAAUAUUGCACAAUGGGGGAAACCCUGAUGCAGCGACGCCGCGUGAGUGAAGAAGUAUUUCGGUAUGUAAAGCUCUAUCAGCAGGGAAGAAAAUGACGGUACCUGACUAAUAAGCCCCGGCUAACUACGUGCCAGCAGCCGCGGUAAUACGUAGGGGGCAAGCGUUAUCCGGAUUUACUGGGGGUAAAGGGAGCGUAGACGGCCAGACAAGUCAGAAGGGAAAGCCCCGGGCUUAACUCUGGGACUGCUUUUGAAACUGGCGGGCUGGAGUGCAGGAGAGGUAAGCGGAAUUCCUAGUGUAGCGGUGAAAUGCGUAGAUAUUAGGAGGAACACCAGUGGCGAAGGCGGCUUACUGGACUGUAACUGACGUUGAGGCUCGAAAGCGUGGGGAGCAAACAGGAUUAGAUACCCCAGUAGUC
rnacentral:rRNA from 1 species